AACGAACGCUGGCGGCAGGCCUAACACAUGCAAGUCGAGCGGACCCUUCGGGGUUAGCGGCGGACGGGUGAGUAACGCGUGGGAAUAUGCCCUUCUCUACGGAAUAGUCCUGGGAAACUGGGGGUAAUACCGUAUACGCCCUUUGGGGGAAAGAUUUAUCGGGGAAGGAUUAGCCCGCGUUGGAUUAGGUAGUUGGUGGGGUAAUGGCCUACCAAGCCGACGAUCCAUAGCUGGUUUGAGAGGAUGAUCAGCCACACUGGGACUGAGACACGGCCCAGACUCCUACGGGAGGCAGCAGGUGGGAAUCUUAGACAAUGGGGGCAACCCUGAUCUAGCCAUGCCGCGUGAGUGAUGAAGGCCUUAGGGUUGUAAAGCUCUUUCAGCUGGGAAGAUAAUGACGGUACCAGCAGAAGAAGCCCCGGCUAACUCCGUG
rnacentral:rRNA from 1 species